rnacentral:lncRNA from 1 species
CUCAAUCUUGGGUGAAUUACUCUCCACUACUGAGAGGAGUUCCUUCUGAGUAUCCUGUUCAGUGACCCAGGAAUUUUGAGGUUUUCCAAUCUGCCUGAUAUGAAUGAGAGAACAUGUAGCCUAUUUUCGACUACUGGACAACUUACCUACAAGAUGAAGCCAACAAUGUUGUUAGCACAGAAAGACAAAAUAAAACCUGGAUCCUUGAUCAUAUUACUAAACUGCUGGAUCAAUGAAUUCUGAUACACGCUGCCAAGCAUGUGGGCCAAUAAAUGUACUCAUUGUUGAAGCCAGUUUGAUUUAGAUUGUCUGUUAUUUACG